GAAGACACAUCGCUUUACCCUGGCCUUGGCCUUUGACACCAUAUAUAUAUAUGGUGUCAAAGGCCAGGGUAAAGCGAUGUGUCUUC